UAAAUCUGGGAAGUGCUUAGGUCCUACUGGGAUUCCCCGGGUGUAUCCCAGAUGGCUCUGCCUUUUAGUUUGGUUUCUAAUUCAGCUGAGACUCAGGGCUUGUAAGUGGGAAAUGGAACACUAGCCAAAAGUGAGACAGCUCCUCCUCUCUCCAGCUUCCUGUCUCCCAAGAGCUACACGUCUCUCCUCUCUGCUUGCUUCUCUUCUCUCCUCUCUCUCUGUCGACCAGCGUCCUCUGCAAACUCAUCAGCUUUCUCAAGGUCACAUUGGGUAUUUCUCUAUCUCAAGAAAAGUGAUCACUGGACAGACACAAGAGCUCUGCAGAAAACUAGUUUGACUGGGAGGGGAACUUUCCGUAGGUCUGGAGGGAUUUUUAUCAAGUGGACCCUCACAGAACAUCAUAUCUUAGUGAGAGGUGACAGCGUGCUGGCAGCUCUCGCUCGCUCUCGGCACCUCCUCUGCCUGGACUCCCACUUUGGUGGCACUUGAGGAGCCCUUCAGCCCACCGCUGCACUGUAGGAGCCCCCUUCUGGGCUGGCCAAGGCCGGAGCUGGCUCCCUCAGCUUGCAGGGAGGUAUGGAGGGAGAGGCGCGAGCGGGAACCGGGGCUGCGCGCAGCGCUUGCAGGCCAGCUGGAGUUCCGGGUGGGCGUGGGCUUGGCGGGCCCCGCACUCGGAGCAGCCGGCCGGCCCUGCUGGCCGGGCAAUGAGGGGCUUAGCACCUGGGCCAGCGGCUGCGGAGGGUGUGCUGGGUCCCCCAGCAGUGCCGGCCCACCGGCGCUGUGCUUGAUUUCUCGCCGGUCCUUAGCUGCCUUCUCUCAGGGCAGGCCUCGGGACCUGCCGCCCACCAUGCCUGAGCCUCCCCGACGAGCGCUGCCCCCUGCUCCCCGACGCCCAGUCCCAUCGACCACCCAAGGGCUGAGGAGUGAAGGCGCAGGCGCAGGACUGGCAGGCAGCUCCACCUGCGGCCCCAGUGGGGGAUCCACUGGGUGAAGCCAGCUGGGCUCCUGAGUCUGGUGGGGAUUUGGAGAACAUUUAUGUCUAGCUAAGGGAUUGUAAAUACACCAAUUGGCACUCUGUAUCUAGCUCAAAGUUUGUAAACACACCAAUCAGCACCCUGUGUCUAGCUCAGGGUUUGUGAAUGCACCAAUGGACACUCUGUAUCUAGCUAAUCUAGUGGGGGGCCUGGAGAACUUUUGUAUCUAGCUCGGGGAUUGUAAAUGCACCAAUCAGCAGCCUGUCAAAACAGACCAAUCAGCUCUCUGUAAAACAGACCAAUCAGCUCUCUGUAAAAUGGACCAAUCAGCAGGAUGUGGGUGGGGCCAGAUAAGAGAAUAAAAGCAGGCUGCCCAAGCCUGUAGUGGUAACCCACUCGGGUUUGAUUGCCU
rnacentral:lncRNA from 1 species